rnacentral:rRNA from 1 species
UACAGAGGGUGCAAGCGUUGUUCGGAAUUAUUGGGCGUAAAGCGUUUGUAGGCGGUCCUAUAAGUCGGGUGUGAAAGCCCUCGGCUCAACCGAGGAAGUGCGCCCGAAACUGCAGGACUUGAGUGCCAGAGAGGAUAGCGGAACUCCCGGUGUAGAGGUGAAAUUCGUAGAUAUCGGGAGGAACACCAGUGGCGAAGGCGGCUAUCUGGAUGGCGACUGACGCUGAGAAACGAAAGCGUGGGGAGCAAACAGG